UUCGCAAAUUUAAUAUAGUAUAGAAAUAUCGAUUUCACCUAAAAGUUAUUUAAACUUAUCGCAAAUGGCGAUAAAACUGUUUUAUCACGGAAAUAAACUUCAAUAGAAAUGAAAAUCAUACUUUAUGUUAUGUUACAUCAUACCUUUUAUUAUUAAUUUAUUUUUAAUUAACAUUAAAUUUCAUCUCUUUAUAUGAUAAAGAAAAACAAAACCUUUAUGAACUACACAUUAUACUUAUGGUAAAAAAAAGGUUUUUGAACAUAAGAAAAAGUGUAAUUUCGUUCGUUCAAUCAUGUCUCAGGUCGCUCGUCAACAUAGCUCAUAUAAAUAUACAAUAUUAUUUGUAAACAUAUUGUUUGUAGAUAUUUUUAUUACAUGUUUUGUUUAUAUGAGAGCAGAUACUGGCAGUAAAAAAACUUAUCAUAUUUUACGAUGGAAGAUAGGUGGAAACAAUCCAUUGCGUGUUUUGGGUACAGGAUCAAGUAAGUUUAUAGAAUUGAAGUGCCCGUACCAAAACUGUCACGUUACCGACGACAGGAAAUAUUUUCCAAAUGUAUCAGAUUUUGAUGCUUUAGUAUUUUGCGGAAGACAGGCAAUAAAAUUUCCGCGCAGUGAUUUGCCACAAGAGAGAUCACCCUCACAAAAGUAUAUAUUUGCAAUGACUGAACCAGCUCCUAUGUUUAUGUCUUGUAAUGAUCUGUUGGAGGACUUAUUUAACUGGACGUGGACUUAUAAACUAAGUUCAGACAUUCGAUUUUCUUACAUAGUAAUUUAUGACCUGAACGGCCGUGAGGUGGGCCCAAAAGCAAACAUGAACUGGCCUAUGGAGAUGAAACCGAUUCAAGAUGAAACAACUAAGGCUAUAUUGGAUGGCAAGUCUAAGGCGGCUACAUGGAUUGUAUCACGUUGUGCAACGCUUAGCAAAAGAGAAAUAUUUGUCGAGAAAAUGAGACCAGAGUUAUCCAAAUUAAAUUUAACUUUGGAUGUGUACGGAAGGUGUGGUGAUUUGGGCCCGGUGGAAGACGGUGUAAGUAAGGAAUUGAUUAAGAGAGACUAUUAUUUCUAUUUGUCCUUUGAGAAUUCUCUCGCUUGGGAUUAUGUAUCGGAGAAACUUCUGACCGCACUGCUUAAUUACGCCGUCCCUGUGGUUUACGGUGGUGCAGAUUAUACUCGAUUUUUGCCACCGGGUAGCUAUUUAGAUGCAUUCAAACUUGGACCAAUAGAAUUAGCGAGGACUAUGAAAGAAAUAAUAGAAAAUAAAACAAGAUAUUAUAAUUUUUUUCGGUGGCGAAACCACUUCGUAUACAAACGAGGAGAGAACUCCACUGAAAUUUGUAACGUUUGUACUGCGCUCAAUGAAGAUUUAUUUGGUAAUUUACAUCUUCGCGAUGGGUUUAGACUUUGGUGGGUCGGCGAGUAUAGUUAUAGAUUAAAAAAUUGUAUGAAAAAACAGAGGGAAUACCACAAAAGAUCAAAUAUGUAGAACGUCAUUUCGUCUACACGUUCUAUCUUACACUAUGUUUACACAAAAUCAAAAAAGAGAUAGCAUGUGCACGAUAGUAACGUACGACGUAUGACGUUUCGUGGUAGGCCUUUAGUUUAUGAAAAGACUGAAAAGACUGUUUCGAUGAUUUGAUGUUACGUUUUAUUAUUAUAUGAUUAUAUUUUUAUGUUUUUCUCUUCCAUCUAUUCAGCCAUCACUUCCACGUUGAUUGUCUGAUAGACGGUGAAUGUUUUUUUAGAAAAUUAAAUUUUAUUAUUAAUGGGUUGUUUUCUCGAGAUGAAAAAACCCCCCAAAGCAUUGUUCAUGAAUGUAGGUAUCAUGCACACGAUACCUCAGCAAUACUUGAAAUUAUUUAUUAGAAGUGAGUUCUAGAGGUAGUUUUGUUUUUUGAAGUCAUAAAACUGACUUUGAUAACAAACUUUUAUUACUCUACUUCAUCACUGUUUCUGAAAUAUAGUCCAAAGUACAUUUAUUAGCUAGAUAUAUAUGUGUAUCUGUAUUUAACUCCAAUAUUUAUAUAUUUUUUUAAUAAGCGAUAUAUCGCAUAGAAAAAUUGUCUUCAGUCAUGUUAAAAGUCGUGCAUCGACAUAACCGACUUAAGUAUAUAAUAUUGUUUUUGAGCGUACUGUGUAUACUUAUUUUUACACGUAAUGUAUAUAAGAAAACAGAUUUCAACACGAGCAAUAAAAAAAUAUAUAAUAUUUUAAAAUGGUCGACAAGCAAAUAUAAUCCGCUGGAAACUUUGGGCACAGGAUCAAGUAAGUUUAUAGAAAUGAACUGUAAAUAUCAAAACUGUUACGUUACUAAAAAUAGGAAAUAUUUAUUAAAUGUAACCGAUUUUGAUGCUUUGGUGUUUAGUGGCUUUAACUUAAUAAGAUUUCGCCAUAGUUAUUUGCCUCAAAAUAGAUCGCCCUCACAAAAGUAUAUAUUUGCAAUGAAUGAACCAGCUCCCAUGUUUAUGUCUUGUAAUCCUCUGUUGGAAAACUUAUUUAACUGGACGUGGACUUAUAAACUUACUUCAGACAUUCGAUGGUCCUACGUACUAAUAUAUGACUUGCACGGUAAUGAAGUGGGUCCAAAACUAAACAUGAACUGGCCUACGGAGAUGAAACCUAUUCGAGAUAAAAAAACUAAGGCCAUAUUUAAUGGCAAGUCUAAGGCGGCUGCAUGGUUUGUAUCACACUGCGAAACUGGUAGCCGAAGAGAAGAUUAUAUCUGGAAGUUGAAACCAGAGUUAGCCAAAUUAAAUCUUACGUUGGAUGUGUAUGGAAGAUGCGGUAAUUUGUCAUGCCUCAAGGGAGACAAAAAAUGUAAUGAAAUGGUGAAGACAGACUAUUAUUUCUAUUUAUCCUUUGAGAAUUCCAUCACGCGGGAUUAUGUGUCGGAGAAACUUCUGACCGCACUGCUUAAUUACGCCGUCCCUGUGGUUUACGGUGGCGCAGAUUAUUCUCGAUAUUUACCUCCAGGCAGUUACUUAGAUGCACACAAGUUUAGUCCAGUGGAACUAGCGAGGACCAUGAAGGAAAUAAUAGAAAAUAGAACCAGAUAUUAUGAUUUUUUUCGAUGGCGAAACCAUUUCGUAUACAAAUAUGGAGACAACUCUACUGAAAUUUGUAAUGUUUGUGCUGCGCUCAAUAAAGACAUACCCAAUAACUUUAAUCUUCGCAACGGAUUUAGGCUCUGGUGGGCUGGCGAGUAUAGUUAUAGAUUAAAAUUUUGUAUGAAAAAACAGAGGGACCACCACAAAAAAAAUAAUAUUUAGCACGUCAUUUCGUCCACUUCGAUGAAUAAGAUUGUCGACAAAUACGAUUUUUUGUCAGUUUCGGUGGCGAUUAUUCUAAGUUGUAGUUAGUUGAUAAUAAAUUAUUGUAUACAUUUUGUAUUUGGAAUUACUAUAUAUAAUGUAACUAUGUAACAAAUGAACUCAAAUUAAACACGAUAGUGUAAAAUAGUCGCUUAAAUAUGUAUAUUAUAAUUAAUUAUUUCUAGGCAAUGCGUUCGAUUCGUUUUGGUCUGAAGAUCGCCUGAGUCCGCGCACGACAAUAUAGUAAAGGAGUGUAAAAAGAUCCAUUGGAAUUGUA